rnacentral:rRNA from 1 species
AAACUCAAAGGAAUUGACGGGGGCCCGCACAAGCGGUGGAGCAUGUGGUUCAAUUCGACGCAACGCGAAGAACCUUACCCAGGCUUGAACAGCGACUGACUACUCCCGAAAGGGAGCUUCCGCAAGGACAGUCGUAGAGGUGCUGCAUGGCUGUCGUCAGCUCGUGUCGUGAGAUGUUGGGUUAAGUCCCGCAACGAGCGCAACCCUUGUUUGCUGUUGCCAUCAGGUAAUGCUGGGCACUCUGCAAAGACUGCCGGUGACAAACCGGAGGAAGGUGGGGAUGACGUCAAGUCAGCAUGGCCUUUAUGUCUGGGGCCACACACGUGCUACAAUGGCCGGUACAAACCGUCGCGAGCCCGCAAGGGGGAGCUAAUCGGAGAAAGCCGGUCUCAGUUCGGAUAGCAGGCUGCAACUCGCCUGCUUGAAGUUGGAAUCGCUAGUAAUCGCGGAUCAGCACGCCGCGGUGAAUACGUUCCCGGGCCUUGUACACACCGCCCGUC